AGCGAACGCUGGCGGCAGGCCUAACACAUGCAAGUCGAACGAACUCUUCGGAGUUAGUGGCGGACGGGUGAGUAACACGUGGGAACGUGCCUCUAGGUUCGGAAUAACUCAGGGAAACUUGAGCUAAUACCGGAUGUGCCCUUCGGGGGAAAGAUUUAUCGCCUUUAGAGCGGCCCGCGUCUGAUUAGCUAGUUGGUGAGGUAAAGGCUCACCAAGGCGACGAUCAGUAGCUGGUCUGAGAGGAUGAUCAGCCACAUUGGGACUGAGACACGGCCCAAACUCCUACGGGAGGCAGCAGUGGGGAAUCUUGCGCAAUGGGCGAAAGCCUGACGCAGCCAUGCCGCGUGAAUGAUGAAGGUCUUAGGAUUGUAAAAUUCUUUCACCGGGGACGAUAAUGACGGUACCCGGAGAAGAAGCCCCGGCUAACUUCGUG
rnacentral:rRNA from 1 species